UACGGAAGGCAGCAGUGGGGAAUACUGCACAAUGGGCGCAAGCCUGAUGCAGCCAUGCCGCGUGUAUGAAGAAGGCCUUCGGGUUGUAAAGUACUUUCAGUCGUGAGGAAGGUGUUAAGGUUAAUAACCUUAGCAAUUGACGUUAGCGACAGAAGAAGCACCGGCUAACUCCGUGCCAGCAGCCGCGGUAAUACGGAGGGUGCGAGCGUUAAUCGGAAUUACUGGGCGUAAAGGGCACGCAGGCGGUUAAUUAAGUUGGAUGUGAAAUCCCCGGGCUUAACCUGGGAAUGGCAUUCAAGACUGGUUAGCUAGAGUCUUGUAGAGGGGGUAGAAUUCCGAUGUGUAGCGGUGAAAUGCGUAGAGAUGUGGAGGAAUACCGGUGGCGAAGGCGGCCCCCUGGACAAAGGACUGACGCUCAUGUGCGAAAGCGUGGGGAGCAAAC
rnacentral:rRNA from 1 species